rfam:Danio rerio chromosome 13, GRCz11 reference primary assembly.
GGCCACAGCCAUAUCACCCUGCAGCCCAAGACCGGUUACUCACUGAAGCUAAGCAGGGCUGAGCCUGGUCAGUACCUGGAUGGGAGACCACUAGGGAACACUAGGUUGCUGUUGGAA